rnacentral:rRNA from 1 species
GUAUGUACAUUCAAAUUAACUAAUUCAAAUAAAUAAUUUACUUGAAAAUUACUAAUAAAUCCUAAACUUUUUAUAUUUUAAAUAUAUACUUGUAAGUGGCUAACUUAAUCUAAAUAAUAAACUGCACCUUGACUUGAAUUUUACAAAUAAAUUGGAAAGACAAAAAAGCUAAAAAUUAUCUUAACAGAGGUAUACAAGAUAAAAUAUUAAGAAAAAUUAAACGCGGACUAUCGAUUAAAAAACAAGCCCCUCUAAAAAGCAAUUGAACCGCCAAAAACUUUGGGUUUAAAGUGAAACUUCUAAUACCCUUAGAUAUAAUAAAAGGGUAUCUAAUCCUAAUUUAUUUUAUAAUUUAAAAGAAAAACAAAAAAAAGAAAUAAAAAUAGAAUUUCACCUCAAUUUUUAAUUUAAAAUAAAACAAAACUUUUCUUUUAAGAAAAUCUUAAAAAGAUAAUCGUAUA